AGUGGAUGGGGAGCAACCUAGUUGUGCGUGUGUAAAGGUAGUGCCAAGAAAAGCGAUGAUCAUGUUGAAAAUCAAUUCCCGGUACCCGAAACCGACACAGGUGGGCAAGUAGAGAAUACUAAGGGGCGCGAGGUAACUCUCUCCAAGGAACUCGGCAAAAUGACCCCGUAACUUAGGGAGAAGGGGUGCCACCGAGAGGUGGUCGCAGUGAAGAGGCCCAGGCGACUGUUUAGCAAAAGCAUAGGUCUCUGCAAACUCGAAAGAGGAGGUAUAGGGGCUGACGCCUGCCCAGUGCCGGAAGGUUAAAGAAGUUGGUCAGUUUUAGGAUGAAGCUAGCGACUGAAGCCCCGGUGAACGGCGGCCGUAACUAUAACGGUCCUAAGGUAGCGAAAUUCCUUGUCGGGUAAGUUCCGACCCGCACGAAAGGCGUAACGAUCUGGGCGCUGUCUCGGAGAGAGGCUCGGCGAAAUAGGAUUGUCUGUGAAGAUACGGACUACCUGCAUUUGGACAGAAAGACCCUAUGAAGCUUUACUAUAGCUUGGAAUUGUGUUCGGGCUUCCUGUGCGCAGGAUAGGUGGGAGGCGUAGAAGGUAUUCUGUGGGGAUACUGGAGCCAACGGUGAGAUACCACUCUCAGGAGGCUAGAAUUCUAACUUAAUUAAGGACAGUUUCAGGUGGGUAGUUUGACUGGGGCGGUCGCCUCCAAAAAGGUAACGGAGGCGUACAAAGGUUCCCUCAGACUGGUUGGAAAUCAGUCGAAGAGUGCAAAGGCAGAAGGGAGCUUGACUGCGAGAAGUACAGUUCGAGCAGGGUGGAAACACGGUCUUAGUGAUCCGACGGUGCUGUGUGGAAGGGCCGUCGCUCAACGGAUAAAAGUUACUCUAAGGAUAACGGGCUGAUCUCCCCCAAGAGUUCACAUCGACGGGGAGGUUUGGCACCUCGAUGUCGGCUCAUCGCAACCUGGGGCGGAAGUACGUCCCAAGGGUUGGGCUGUUCGCCCAUUACAGUGGUACGUGAGCUGGGUUCAGAACGUCGUGAGACAGUUCGGUCCAUAUCCGAUGUAGGCGUGAGAAUAUUGAGAGGAGCCUUCCUUAGUACGAGAGGACCGGGAAGGACGCACCGCUGGUGUACCUGUUAUGAUGCCAAUUGUAAACGCAGGGUAGCCAAGUGCGGAGAGGAUAACCGCUGAAAGCAUCUAAGUGGGAAGCCCACCUCAAGAUGAGUAUUCUGGUGUAAGGUCACGGGAAGACGACCCGUAAAUAGGCACGAGGUGGAAGUGCAGAGAUGUAUGAAGCCGAAGUGUACUAAUAGACCGUCGGCUUGACC
rnacentral:rRNA from 1 species